rnacentral:tRNA from 1 species
UUUCAAAAUUGAUUCUUGAAAUCAUUCUAAUCAUAACACCAAAUUCAUUUCAUUGAUACAUAAAUGUACUCACCAAUUCAAAUA